UCUUCAUUGUCUCUUUUUCUGCAUUCUCAACUCUUUCACUCAUUGUUCGUAUUCAUGCUUUAAAGAUCAAUUUUUGUGUCUUUUUUGGUGGUGGUAGAGUGUUUGAUCAAGAUUUGCUACAAUGGCUGUGAUUGCUCUUGUAGCAGCGUUUAGGUGAUUGUGUUGUUGUUGCUGGAAAAUCGGUGUUCGUGUUAGUAUCUUUGUUGUGGAUUUAAGAAUCUGAUUUGGUUCGUGUUUGGAUCCGAUAUUGAGCUGGGAUCAUGGCUUCAUCGCUCGUAAGAACUCGUUCCCCAUGCCAUUUUUGGUCAAGCAUUUAAGUCGAGUGAAGAGGAAGAAGUCUCACUCAUGGUGGUGGGAUAGCACCAACAACUCCAAGUGGCUACAAGAAAAUCUCCAAGACAUGGAUGUUAAUGUCAAGAGGAUGAUGAAACUGAUAGAAGAGGAUGCCGAUUCUUUCGCAAAGAAGGCCGAAUCGUAUUUUGUUGGUCAGCCUCGUUGAGGAGUUUUAUCGGAUGCAUCGUGCGUUGGCUGAGCGGUAUGAUCAUGUCACGCGCGAGCUCACGAGCAAGGACUCGUCCACGCAGAAUCUGCAUGAACAGCUGAAAUCGGCGCAGAAGGAUGUCGCUGUAUGGAAAAACAAAGUCGAGAGAGAGAAACGUGACGCUGCUAGGCUGCAGGACCGCGUGGUGAGGUACAAGACAAAUCUCUUGGAGCGAGAUCAAGAAAUCCGGGGGCUGAGGGAGACGAUAGGCAACGCGAACAAGGCCUUGGCCGAAGAAAACAAGCACCUUCAAGCAGAGAUGGCGAGGAUAACGAAAGAGCACGCGUAUUUGGAGGAUGUUGGAAAUAUUGUAGCCUUUACACGGGAAAACUCUUGCUAUUACAAAAGAACAAAACUGGAAGGUAAAUAUAAUAAUAAAAAUUACAACGAAA